rnacentral:rRNA from 1 species
GACACAGGGAGGUAGUGACAAGAAAUAACAAUACAGGGCUACUGUCUUGUAAUUGGAAUGAUGGUGACUUAAACCCUCACCAGAGUACCAAUUGGAGGGCAAGUCUGGUGCCAGCAGCCGCGGUAAUUCCAGCUCCAAUAGCGUAUAUUAAACUUGUUGCAGUUAAAAAGCUCGUAGUUGAAUUUCAGCGUUUCGCGUGUGCCUCUUUUGGCCCAUCUCGUCUCGCUUUUUUUAUUACUUUGAGAAAAUUAGAGUGUUUCAAGCAGGCUUUUGUCUUGAAUACUUGAGCAUGGAAUAAUAGAGUAGGACCUUGGUUCUAUUUUGUUGGUUUUGUUACCUUGGUAAUGGUUAAUAGGAACGGUUGGGGGCAUUCGUAUUUAACUGUCAGAGGUGAAAUUCUUAG